CUUCUUCAAAUUAAAGACAUUUAGUUUAGCUCUACAUCAUCUUCUCUUUUUCUUCAGAUUAAAGAUAUUUACUGUCAGAGGCUUCAACAAAUUUUCAGGUAUUGUGAUCCAAAGACAGGGCUGUCUUAUGCUACAAAAGAAGUAUUCAAAAUCAUUCUCCAACAGUUAAACAGUUCACGUACGCACAAACUUUUUGGAUUGCAUUGAGGAGUCAUUGGAAUGGAAUAUUAGAUAAGUUCGGGUGAGAGACUUUACAAGAAUUAUUAUAUGUAUUA